UACAGAGGUCCCAAGCGUUGUUCGGAUUCAUUGGGCGUAAAGGGUGCGUAGGUGGCGCGCUAAGUCGGGUGUGAAAUUUCGGAGCUUAACUCCGAAACUGCAUUCGAUACUGGUGUGCUUGAGGACUGGAGAGGAGACUGGAAUUCAUGGUGUAGCGGUGAAAUGCGCAGAUAUCAGGAAGAACACCUAUGGCGAAGGCAGCCCCCUGGGUCAAGAUUGACGCUCAUGCACGAAAGCGUGGGGAGCAAACAGG
rnacentral:rRNA from 1 species